UUCGAUUGUUCUUAUAUAACACGGUAUUACGGUAAAUAGUGUAUGUAAAGGCUAAAGGUCAUUGCGGUGUUUGAAUCUUUUUGUUCCUAAACGUGUUACCUAGCUAGGAGAGGCCGGUAUAUUCAGUGAUAUUUGUUUGAUACCCUGACUUUGUAACAACUUAUAUACAGGUCACAUUUCUAUGGAGUACAAUUACUCCUUUUCUAGUCAUUAUCAAGCAGUGGAAACGUCUCUCAGUAAUAAGCAGGAAUUGUAUUCCAUAGAAUUGUGACGUGUAUACAUAUUCCAGUUCAAUUACUAAAUGCUAUUGAAACAAUUUGUAACAAUUUUUAAAGUUCGUCAUCGUGUUCAUUAUACUCUAUUGUGAAAACUGAUGGGAUGCAUUUAGGAAGAGAAGAAUAUCAUCACGGUAAUUGGGUUUAUUGAUAAGAAUGUUAGAAUAUAUAAAUGAUACUAUAAACCGUCGCUACAUGAUCACCCUUGUAAUUCACAUAGUUGGUUUAAUACUCCAUAUAAUAUCUAUAUCAACAAAUUACUGGGCAGAAGGAAGUUUGGAAGGGAAUCGAGCAAACUUUGGAUUAUGGCUGGGAUGCAAGGACGUGGAUGAUGUGACCACCGUUUGUUCAAGGUCUGUGUUUGCUUCAAAGUUGCUUAACAAUGAUAAGCAGUGGCAAGAAGCAGCACAGAUACUGAUAUUGAUAGCUUUAUUAACUUUAUUGAUGAAGAUACUAUUAGUAGUAUGUCUUCUACUACUGAAAAUAGUCAGGAAUUAUAUAAAAGAACUGAUUGGUGUACAUUUUAGUUUAUUUGGAAUAUACUUUACGUGUGUUUUAUUGGUACUCCUCAUGUACAUUCAUGAGAUGGCAGAUUUUAGACUAUCGUGGUCGUUCUUUGUUGCCAUUUCCGCCCUCGUUACUCAUGGUUUGGGAUGUUUAUUACUUUUUAUAGACUUUAAUAAAUCCUGGUGGAUUUGUAAAGCUAAACCCAAGAUGCUCUUAGAGCAAAACGACAGUCAACAGAAUGUGAACCAACAGAACAGUACGAAAAGACCUAAUCGUUCGCGAUCUGUAAAUUCAGAAUUUGCGAUUCUAACCCGAGAUGCUAACGGUACAUGGUUAGUUUCUUUUUAGUGGUUGUCUCUUCCAAUGUUCGUUUGUAUGGCUCAACUGAUAUUACUAACUGAAAAAGAUUAGUGUGAUAAAUACGAAUGCUGUUGUUACUAAUUGAAUACUGAAAAUGCACAUAGCAUUGAAUUAGGAGCUAUCUUUGUACACUGUCAAAGAAAGUUUUGGGGUGUUCGAAAAAAAAUGUUUGUAAAGAUUCCAUAUAGAACAGUUUUGGGAAUUUGUAAAUUGGUCAGUGUAAUGAAAUAAAAUUGACGUAUCCGGAGCGACAGGACACCGAUAGAGAAAAAUUGAAAUUGUCACGUCUCUUACGUGACGUCUGUUGUUAGAACAUUGUAACCCAUGAUGUAGAGGAAGUUAUAGAACCUGUUUGUACGUGAUCUCACUAUUUAUAAUACAUCAGGAUUAACUAUGUUGUAACAAUUUUCAUGGUCACCGCAAAAAAUGUGUCUGUGUCAUCAAUCUAAGAAUUUCGAUGAUUUCAGUCUAUUUAAGAGGUUCAUGAUUACCCGUUUUCAACACGAUUUACACUGUAAAUUUUUUAUUCAGUGAAUAAUGCGUGAUCUAAAAACAUGAUAUAUUUAGUUAAAUACUCAACAUUCGAUUUGGAAUGAAAAUUAUAAAGAGAUUCCAAAAACGGGGGUUUAAUUACGCGAACCCACUUUCAAAACAAAUCGCGCAGAAAUUAUUACUUUCAUUAUUACUCUAGUCUGCAUCAACAAAAUUGUUCCCAGAUCAAGGUGCAUGAUUCUGUUUGCUAUUGUCUUCUGUAUACUAUAUGUGAGUAAUAUGAUGAAAUUGAUAUUGUUAUUAUUCUAUUAAAUGUAAAACAUGAACAAUAUUCUAUUGUGUUUGUAUAUGUAACAACGCGGUUCUUUGAUAGCAAAUUCACACGUACAUAUUACUUUUUUUUAAAGAAAAUAUUUGAUCAUGUAUAAAACAGGUUUUUAAGGGAUAGGGUUUCAGGCUGCUCAAAUCUGAAUAGAAACUGGUCUUAACUGGAUAAACAACUUGAAAGAAACACAUGAAAAAUCCUAAACUGUACACCCCAGGUCCAAAAAGCACCCGCUAUCCCUGGUGUCCCUGCAAGUAAACUUAAUAUAACUUAGACUUUAAUGCCAGUGGAAAGUUCAUCAUCAGGAUUUUCCCCGGCGUGGUUACCCCUUGUCAGUGGUGCAGGUGGAGGGCCUGACAAGGGACAACGUAUAGUCGUUCGAAUGGGACAAAAAACCGAGGUAACGUGUACACAUUGGCGUACAUGAAAAAGAACCCUUGACAGUUGGAAUUCGAAAUAAGAGUAGGCGGUAAAUUUCCCUCAAAGCACAUUGGCACCGUCGAAACAGAAAAAAGGACGUUAAACCCCCAUUUCAAUUAACUUCAUAUAUUGUCAGUGAGUCAUCCGUCGGUCCUUUUCUUACAAGGUUUUGAAACGUGCUACUUCCAAUCAAAUAUUAAGACUUAUCCCGGGCUAUUAGAAAUGUCUGUUAUCCAUUUUGUAAACUACACGUAUACCCUGUAAUACUAUUGUACGUCUUUGGCAAUAAAAAAACAAUUUU